AGCAGCCGCGGUAAUUCCAGCUCCAAUAGCGUAUAUUAAAGUUGUUGCAGUUAAAAAGCUCGUAGUUGAAUUUCGGGAUCAAUUAGUCGGUCGUGCCUCUGGUACGUACUGGUUUUAUUGGUUCCUCCCUUCUGACGAAACAUGAUGUCAUUAAUUUGGUGUCGUGGAGAAUCAGGACUGUUACCUUGAAAAAAUUAGAGUGUUUAUAGCAGGCUAACGCUUGAAUACAUUAGCAUGGAAUAAUGAAAUAGGACGUUCGACCCUAUUUUGUUGGUUUCUAGGAUCGACGUAAUGAUUAAUAGGGAUAGUUGGGGGCAUUAGUAUUCAAUUGUCAGAGGUGAAAUUCUUGGAUUUAUUGAAGACUAACUACUGCGAAAGCAUUUGCCAAGGAUGUUUUCAUUAAUCAAGAACGAAAGUUAGGGGAUCGAAGACGAUCAGAUACCGUCGUAGUCUUAACCAUAAACUAUGCCGACUAGGGAUCGGAUGAUGUUAAUUUUUAANGUACUCAUUCGGCGC
rnacentral:misc_RNA from 1 species